CUGGAAAUAAAUCCAGCAUGGUUAGUUUCUAGAAGCAUUGAAGAUGCUGCUACCAUAUAGCAUUAUCCCAAUAUUGACAUUUCUUUAAAUUCAAUUACUCUCAUUCAUUUGAUCUGAGUUUGCAAGACAAACGGCACAUGUAAGCCUGAUGCCAACACACUGCCUUUACUCCAAAAUUUCAUCGGCGAAGGAAAAUGAGGGAGCAAUAUCCACAGGCACCUGAAUGCUCUCUAA
rnacentral:misc_RNA from 1 species